rnacentral:lncRNA from 1 species
UACGUAGGUUUCCACCACUUCUGAAUUCACCAGAUGAAGUUCCGCCCCCAUUCAUUUUCAACAGGAGCAUGCGGAUUGUUGCAAGGUUAGCGGCAUGGAGGAGGAUUGCAGAGAUUGAUGGUGUUGAUGGUGGGUGAAGAGAGAUUUGCACAACAAUGUUUGCUUGUGCUACUAGCUAGCUAUGAACAUCAAGCAACCUAAACCUCAAAACUGUGAUCAAAGCCACCAAUUUGUGAACGUGUUGAGUAAAUUAAACUGUGAAAUUUCCCCAACAAAGGAUAAAAAUCAUCAAGUAACGCAUUAUAACAUUGUAAAUUAUAUACUAAGCAUGAAUUCCCCAUGUAAUAUGCUACCAAUUGGAUUAUAGUAUUUUAACAUUAUGAUUCUCAUAUAUUAUAGCUUAUGGCUCUUUAUACUUGUCAUGACAUUGAUGACUAUAGUUUACAUUCUGUAAAAUACAUGGGCCUACAUUCACAUGAAUGGGUAAUUUAUGUAAAGGAAAUUGUGGCAAAUCUAUCUUUACCCACCAUCAACACCAAUCCUCCUCCAUGCCAUUGACAUUCUGAUUUUGUCUGUAUUCUAAAAUCAUUGUCGGCAAAUAAACACAGUACAAUUACAACGCUUCCCAUGCCACAUUGUUUUCUUUUUUGAUAUUUUUAAUUUGCCAACAAAUUUGAGUUGAGCUAUUCUCUGCUUCAGAUGUACAAUGACAAGGGGCGUACAAUGACAAAAUAAAUCCAUGCUUUUGUCACUUCUAGGUUAGACUACUGCAAUGCUCUACUUUCCGGCUACCCAGAUAAAGCACUAAAUAACCUUCAGUUAGUGCUAAACACGGCUGCUAGAAUCUUGACUAGAACCAAAAGAUGUGAUCAUAUUACUCCAGUGCUAGCCUCUCUACAGUGGCUUCCUGUUAAGGCUAGGGCUGAUUUCAAGGUUUUACUGCUAACCUACAAAGCAUUACAUGGGCUUGCUCCUACCUAUCUUUCCAAUUUGGUCAUGCCGUACAUACCUACACGUACGAUACGGUCACAAGACGCAGGACUCCUUACUGUCCCUAGAAUUUCUCAGCAAACAGCUGGAGGCAGGGCUUUCUCCUAUCGAGCUACAUUUUUAUGGAAUGGUCUGCCUAUCCAUGUGAGACGCAGACUCGGUCUCGACCUUUAAGUCUUUAUUGAAGACUCAUCUCUUCAGUAGGGCCUUUGCUUGUGUAGUCUUGCCCAGGGGUGUGAAGGUGAACGGAAAGGCACUGGAGCAACGAACCACCCUUGCUGUCUCUGUCUGGCCAGUUCCCCUCUCUCCAAAGGGAUUCUCUGCCUCAAACCAUAUUACGGGGGCGGAGUCACUGGCUUACUGGUGCUCUUUCAUGCCGUCCCUAGGAUGGAUGCGUCACUUUUGUGGGUUGAGUCACUGACGUGAUCUUCCUGUCCGGGUUAGCACCCCCUCUUGGGUUUGUGAGGUGGGGGAGAUCUUUGUGGGCUAUACUUGACCUUGUCUCAGGAUGGUAAGUUGGUGAUUGAAGAUAUCCCUCUAGUGGUGUGGGGGCUGUGCUUUGGCAAAGUGGGUGGGGUUAUAUCCUGCCUGUUUGGCCCUGUCCGGGGGUAUCGUUGGACGGGGCCAGUGUCUCCCGACCCCUCCUGUCUCAGCCUCCAGUAUUUAUGCUGCAAAAGUUUGUGCUGGGGGGGCUACGGUCAGUCUGUUAUAUGGAGUAUGUAUCCUGUCUUAUCCAUCCUGUCUUAUCCAGUGUCCUGUGUGAAUUUAAGUAUGUUCUCUCUAAUUCUUUCCUUUUCUCUCUCUCUCGGAGGACCUGAGCCUCAGGACUAUAUGGCCUGAUGACUCCUUGCUGUCCCCAGUCCACCUGGUCAUGCUGCUGCUCCAGUUUCAACUGUUCUGCCUGCGGCUAUGGAACCCUGACCUGUUCACCGGACGUGCUACCUGUCCCAGACCUGCUGUUUUCAACUCUCUAGAGACAGCAGGAGCGGUAGAGAUACUCUGAAUGAUCGGCUAUGAAAAGCCAACUGACAUUUACUCCUGAGGUGCUGACCUGUUGCACCCUCUACAACCACUGUGAUUAUUAUUAUUUGAUCCUGCUGGUCAUCUAUGAACAUUUGAACAUCUUGGCCAUGUUCUGUUAUAAUCUCCACCCGGCACAGCCAGAAGAGGACUGGCCACCCCUCAUAGCCUGGUUCCUCUCUAGGUUUCUUCCAAGGGAGUUUUUCCUAGCCACUGUGCUUCUACACCUGCAUAGCUUACUGUUUGGGGUUUUAGGCUGUGUUUCUGUACAGCACUUUGUGACAUCAGCUGAUGUAAGAAGGGCUUUAUAAAUACAUUUGAUUGAUUGACAAGGAGCAAAUUGAUUGCACAUGCCCUUUAGGCCAGUUAUGCCAUCAUACUGUAGGCCUAUGGCUGCAUUGGUGAUGCAUGCCAUUAUGAUAAGCUGUAAAAUGGGCUCACAUGGCAGAUAUGCUGAGACAGAGUGACAAUCAAAUAAAACCGAUUGGAGAGUUCACAAAUGGACAAAAAUUUAAUUUUCAUUUGAGAAAGCAACACAGAAACAUUAGAGACAGAUCCUCUUCACACCUUUUUUAAAUGUAUUUAUUUUAGUACUUUUCUCCCAAAUUUUGUGAUAUCCAAUUGGUAGUUACAGUCUUGUCCCAUCGCUGCAACUCCAGUACGGACUCGGGAAAGGCGAAGGUCGAGAGCCAUGCUUCCUCCGAAACACGACCCUGCCAAGCUGAACUGCUCCUUGACACUGCUCGCUUAACCCAGAAGCCAGCUGCAACAAUGUGUUGGAGGAAACACCGUACAAAUGGCAACCGAAAUCAGCUUGCAGGUGCCCGGCCUGCCACAAGGAGUCGCUAGAGCGCAACGGGACAAGGAAAUCCCGGCCGGCCAAACCCUCCCAUAACCCAGAUGACGCUGGGCCAAUUGUGCGCCGCCUCCUGGGUCUCCCAGUCACGGCCGGCUGUGACAGAGCCUGGGAUCGAACCCGUGGCUGUAGUGAUGCCUCAAGCACUGCGAUGCAGUGCCUUAAACCGCUGCGUCAUUCCUCUUCACACCUUUUUAUUGCAGAAUUAUGAUCUGUGAUGAAUGACAUUGACACUUGUUCAUCUUAAAUAAUGUUUUUAAGUCAUUAAAACAAGUCUAAACACUUCAAUGAAUCAACAUUGAAUGAAUCAAAAUAUAAUUUCAAAAUGUACAAAUAAUCUAAUGUUUGUAAAUGUACAUCUUUGUAGUAUAGGCUAUUAUUACUAAAGCAAAAUUUCAGGUGAACAAAAAAGUCCAUACCAGAGGUGGCCAACCUUGCUCCACUCCCUGAUCUACUGGGUGAGCAGACUUCUAUUCCAGCCCAGCAAUAAUACACAGCAUUAUCAACUCAUUGGGUUUGCUAAGUUGAAUCAGGUGUGUUAGUGCUGGGCUGGAACAGAAGUCGGCACACUCAGCAUACCUCCAGAAGGACUGACCUGCUACAGUUGUAAUGCGUUUGUAGCCUACACUGUGUAUGACUUAACUGUAUUGUUGUAUACAACAUUUGCUAACAUAAGUACACAUACAAUCCAUGGCAUACAAGGAUGUGCCUGCAGUCUCUUGGGACAUUCACUGGGACCUCUUCAUCUGAAGACAGACUUUCGCAGCUCUCCAUAUCUGAGGACAGACAUCACAAAACAGGCUUAAUUUCAUUACAAUUAGACAGCCCUGGCUACUAUCUCUCUCGGUCUUCAUAGUUUUCCUCUCUAGGGACUAAAACUGGAGAAUAUUUAAUGUCAUACCAGAACCUGCCCUAUCUAACUACACUGAACAAAAAUAUACAUUCAACAUGUAGUGUUGGUCCCAUGUUUCAUGAGCUGAAAUAAACGAUCCCAGAAAUGUUCCAUAUGCACAAAAAACUUUUCUCUCAAAUUCUGUACACAAAAUGGUUUACAUCCCUGUUAGUGAGCAUUUCUCCUUUGCCAAGAUAAUCCAUCCACCUUACAGUUGUGGCAUAUCAAAAAUAAUGAUCAUUACACAGGUGCACCUUGUGCUGGGGACAAUAAAGGGCCACAACACAAUGCCACAGAUGUCUCAAGUUGAGGGAAUGUCCACCAGGGAUGCUGCCAGAGAAUUUAAUGUUCAAUUCUCUACCAUAAGCCACCUGCAACAUCGUUUUAGAAAAUGUGGCAGUACGUCCAACCGGUCUCACAACCACAUGUAACCACGCCAGCCCAGGACCUCCACAUCCGGCUUCUUCACCUGCGGGAUCAUCUUGGGUCCAGCCACCCGUACUGCUGAUGAAACUGAGGAGUAUUUCUGUCUGUAAUAAAGUCCUUUUGUGGGGAAAACCUCAUUCUGAGUGGCUGGGCCUGGCUCACCCAUGGCUGCACCCCUGCCCAGGCAUGUGAAAUCAGUAGAUUAGGGCCUAAUUUAUUUAUUUCAAUCAACUGAUUUCCUUAUAUGAACUGAAACUUAGUACAAUUUUUGAAAUUAUUGCCUGUUGCGUUUAUAUUUUUGUUCAGAAUAGUACACCUACUCCCUUUUCUGGCAGCUGGAGUAGAAAACCCAUAACCCUUCCAUUGCCGUUAUCUACAAAUCCAUUUGGAGCAUGAGUUUUUAAUUCACAAUGAUAAAUAGGCCUACAUCAAGAUAACAUGCCAAUAUGAAGUUAUCUAGCUGAUGAUAUUUCACUUAGCUAUUGCAUGUAAGAUGGCUGGCUAGCUAGCUAGCUAACAAGCAGCUCAUUCGCCUACACCAGGGGUGUGAAACCUUUUUGCCAUCAUUGGCCAUUUGGAUAUUUGGGCCGUAUUAUUAAAAAUGUGCUAUUUUCUGCUUUAUUCAUGUUUUAAUGUGACUUUAAUCACUGACAUUGGUUUUAUAGUUUAUAUAUGACUUGUAUGAUGUUUAUUGUGUCCUUGAGUAAUUAGAAAAGUGCUAGUCCUAUUUAAAUAAAUGUUAGUAUUGUAAAUAAUGUUGUCAUUGUUAUUAUGAUUACUUGUUCAAACUCACCUCUAAUGCGAUGGCUGAAACUGCUUAUAUUUGACGAGGCAUUUGCUGUCAGUGAAGAUGACUCUACUCGCAGCUGGUUUUCCCAGGUUCCAGUCAGUCUUGAGCGGAAUCGAGUCUUUGCAAGAGUCCGUUUGGAAAAUAACUGCUCACAGCAGUAGGUCGUCCAUAACACAGAUGCACAUUUAAGUGCAUGGCUUCUCAGAACAGGAAAAUGCUCCGCGCUAACGUACAUUUUGUAGAACUCAAUGAGAGGGAGGUUGUUGUACCUGGCUUCGAGCUCGUCAUUGUUAUGCAGCUCAAUGACUUCGUGUUGUAGGCCAUCCGGCACAUCCGCUGGUUCGACGUUAAACGGGGCUGCAAAUGUGUUCAACUCCAGUUGUUUACUUUUCACAUCCUUAAACCGUUCACAAAAUGCCUUCGCGAGCUUUCCACUCACCGGUAUAUUCCGACGUAAUCUCAGGCUCUUGUCCUUGCAGAGUAGGUAAAUGUACAGUGUUACCCCUUUCUAGUUGGACUUGCCACAGCUUUAAUUUUGAAGCUGGUUCGGCACAUAGAGCUUGACGUUCAAGUCAGACAGAUACUUGGUUAUGUUGGGUUUUAUUUCACUUAUUAGAUGUGAUGCAUUACCAUUUACAGUAGAUGUAGGCCUAAGUAUGAACGGACUGUAAUGCACUAAGAGGUUUAUAUUGUAUUAACAUAGAUUGAGCAACAUAUAAUAGACAUGACUAACUGGAGGGUUGCUGGCUAGUAGGAGUGUAGGCGGAGUAGACUCGUGACACACACACACACAAUGCCUGGUUGUGGGGCCGCUCAAGGACAGCAGAAACUGUCCUAACUGUAGCAUAAAAACAGGCACUGUCCUUGGGUGUCUGACUCUCGGGUACACACAUGAAGAUAAGCUAGAAGACAACUAUGCUUGGCAACAAAGAUGCGUCUAGUGGCUGGGACCAGCCUGCACGCCAACGAUAGGCUGGAGUAAGUUUAAACCACGCUCAUCCUCCCUCUGACAGGCCAGCAGUGAGCGGGAACUAUCUCUGUCAGAGUAUUUAAUGAAAAGCAAAGGAUGUGUCACUCAGUUCUCUGUUUGCCCUGCGAGGUGUUACAGUGAACCCGUAUAUACGAAGAUUGCAUUUACCAUUUAUUCUGCUUGACUAAUUCUAUUAAUAAACAGCUGAAAAUAUAUUCAGUAGCCUAGUGUUAAAUUUGGUUCUGAUACCAGAAUUGAAUUGACGCAGCCCCAACAGUAUGUCCACCAUGAAGACCAAAUCACACAUCCACUUGUCAUCACUCAGUUCCGCGACAGGUUUCCCCUUCAUCUCCAUGAAUUGUUUUACUUCAUCCUUCAGUCACUGCUCAACCAUCGCACCUCACAGUGGUAAACCAGAUCACCAUACUCCGAUUCAAGCUCACUCAAUAGCUCCAUAAAUUGGCGGUUGUUCAGCCCUUUGCUUUUGAUAAAAUUGAUGGUCGACACUACAGUUGCCAUUACGUUGUUCGGCUUCAGGGACCGUGCACACAGACUUUCUUGAAGUAUGAUGCAGUUACAUACAAUUACAUCACUUGGAUCAAGACUGAGACAACUCAUUUAUUUUUUCACUAAUACGGUUAAGCCCUUUUUCAAGCCAACCACGGCUGGCGCUCCAUCUGUAGUAAGGCCACUUAAUUUUUCAAACCGUAGCUCAAAUUUGCUCACUGCCGAGACAAGUCUCUCAAACAAGUUUCCUGCCUCACACAGGAAGCGGCGCAGGUCCUAAUCCAGGCACUUGUCAUCUCCCGUCUGGAUUACUGCAACUCGCUGUUGGCUGGGCUCCCUGCCUGUGCCAUUAAACCCCUACAACUCAUCCAGAACGCCGCAGCCCGUCUGGUGUUCAACCUUCCCAAGUUCUCUCACGUCACCCCGCUCCUCCGCUCUCUCCACUGGCUUCCAGUUGAAGCUCGCAUCAGCUACAAGACCAUGGUGAUUGCCUACGGAGCUGUGAAGGGAACGGCACCUCCAUACCUUCAGGCUCUGAUCAGGCCCUACACCCAAACAAGGGCACUGCGUUCAUCCACCACUGGCCUGCUCGCCCCCCUACCUCUGAGGAAGCACAGUUCCCGCUCAGCCCAGUCAAAACUGUUCGCUUCU